UACGGAGGGUGCAAGCGUUAUCCGGAAUCACUGGGUUUAAAGGGUGCGUAGGCGGUCUAGUAUGUCAGUUGUGAAAUCGCUGGGCUCAACCCAUGCAAUUGCGAUUGAUACUGCUAGACUUGAAUGGGGUUGAGGCUGGCGGAAUGCGACAUGUAGCGGUGAAAUGCUUAGAUAUGUCGCGGAACACCGAUUGCGAAGGCAGCCAGCUGGGCCUUUAUUGACGCUGAGGCACGAAAGCGUGGGGAGCAAACAGG
rnacentral:rRNA from 1 species